GACGAACGCUGGCGGCGUGCCUAAUACAUGCAAGUAGGACGCAGUUGCGAACGGGAGAGUAACGCGUAGGUAACUACCUAUUAGAGGGGGAUAACUAUUGGAAACGAAAACUAAUAACGCAUAAUAGAAGAUGGACCUGCGUUGUAUUAGCUAGUAGGUAGGGUAAUGGCCUACCUAGGCAACGAUACAUUGCCGACCUGAGGGGGUGAUCGGCCACACUGGGACUUAGACACGGCCCAGACUCCUACGGGAGGCAGCAGUAGGGAAUCUUCGGCAAUGGUGGUAACCCUUACCGAGCAACGCCGCGUGAGUGAAGAAGGUUUUCGGAUCGUAAAGCUCUUUUGUUAAGGAAGCGGUACUUAACCAGAAAGGGACGGCUAACUACGUGCGAGCAGCCGCGGUAAUUC
rnacentral:rRNA from 1 species